GCUCAUUUAACUCAGUUGGUUAGAGUGUGGUGCUAAUAACGUCAAAGUCACAGGUUUGACCCCUGUAGUGAGCA